AUGCGCGACGACGGAGCGACGACAAUGCCGCCACGGUCGGCGCCGUCUCGGCCGCCUCCGUGGGAGGCGCUCUCCCUCGUGGCCAACUUCCUUGACGCCGCGUCCCUCGCCGCGGCUUCCUGCGUCUCCACCUCCUGGCACGCCGCCUUCUCCGACGACCACCUCUGGGCGCGGCUCUGCCGCUGCCACUACCCCUCCGCCAUCGGCCUCCUCCCCUUGUCCGACAGCAGCGUCAAUGCGGGCGACCGGCGGUCCUCCCCGCACCGCGGCCUCUUCGCGCUGUUCCACUCCGCCGCCUCCCGCGGCCGCUCGCUCCCAGAGCCUCGCCUCGCCCUCGCGGACGUCACCUUCGCGGUCGACCUCUUCGCGGCAGGUGGACAGAACAUGCUCUCGUUCGCCGUUGCUGCGUGCGACGCCGGCGUCAAGAAGGCCCCCGGCGGCGUGUUCCAGUUCGCGGUGGACGUGAGUGACCGGAACGCGGUGGCCGGGCCUGGUAAGCACUGGAGCGUGCGGUGGACGGCUGUUCGGACGGGGCUCGGGGUCGCGCCUGCGGCGAUCGUGAUGAUGGACGCCAAGUUGCCGGCGUCGAGGGCCGGAGCGCUUGGCAGUGGCGUGAGGGGGGAGUCAUGGGCCACGGAGGGGCUGCCCGCGCCGGGAUGCGGCGGCGGGAAGCUGGAGGCGGAGGCCGUGGUCGAGGUGAGCGGAGAGGAGAGGCUGGUGGAGAAGGUGAGGCUCGGGGUGUUGUUGGAUUGCAGGGAGGAGAGUUUCCCAUCUGAAUAUAUUUAA
rnacentral:rRNA from 1 species